UAGUGGUGCCCUGGUCUCUCUCUCUUAAAAAGAAAUGCAUAUUUUGUUUUUACAAAAACAAAUGAGGUCUGGUGGGAGUAGAUAGCAUAAUGGUUAUGCAAAGAGUCUCUCAUGUCUGAGGCUCCAAAGUUCCAGACUCAGUCCCUCAUCCCCCAACCAUAAGCCAGAGCUAAUAAUUGCUCUAGUGAAAAGAAAAAGAAAAAAAAAAAAUGAGGUCAAGGUACAAAGUUUCUCUGAGAUUUGAAUGAAGAGUUGGUACAGGAACUGGGGACAUCCAUUCCAUUCCACACAAUUUCAAAAGCAUGUCAAGAUUCCAGUCCUAUGCCAGUCUUCAUAUUUCCUUUCAAGAAAUUAAAUAAAUAAAUCCAGUGCCUAAGCUGACCUGUCAAGGAGAUGGAAGGGCCACGUCAUUUGUCAUGUUAACUGUAUGAGCUCAGCUGCAGGAGAUGAUACCCAGAGUUGUCAGUUUGCCGCCAUCCAUAGAAACACCGUGAGUGCUGUUGAUGCCACUGAGUGGAAAGCACCAGAGCAGGACUGCACUCCAAGCAGGACACUUCAUCAGUCAACUAUUUUUCCUGCUUCUGCCACAAGAACUGAUGGUCCUGCACAUAUGUUUCAACUUACUCUACACUGCACAUGCUUCACAA